rnacentral:lncRNA from 1 species
GCGGGUAAGUUGUCGUAGGGGCCCGGUCCGUGAGGGACUGCUAAGGAAGAGGCUGCAUGGCGCGGUAGUCCCCCGAGUGGAGGUCGGCUGCCCCUGGGAAACCAGAGAGUCGGAGGGAGUCCAUCUGGAGCGGCCAAGUAGGUCGGGGAAGGGCCGCGCCUGACGUCUGGCCGCAGGUAGCCACGUUCCCUCCGCCCCCGGUGCAGCUUCAGGGCUUGCACCCUGCGUCCCUCUGUGGUCCUUCGAGAGGGUCUGGGCGGGGACUAUGGGUGGGCGCGCCCAGGAAUUGUCCCUUCGGCCUCUCGUCCUGCCCCUCCCCCCCACCAUCCAGUCUCUCCUUGGAAUAUACUCUUAAAAUCUUUCGGAUGGAGUUCUUUGGAGAAAUGGGUUUCCUGGAGUGUCAGGUGAUCAUUGAUGUUGAUUGUUUCUGAAAUGUUUAUUUAGGCAUCAAACCAACAUGCCUAAAUAAGUUUUUCAUUUCUACAGCGCCUAGAUUCAUUCCUAGCACAUAGUAGGCCCUAACUCAGAUGUGAAUGUAGGAUUCGUAGGAGCUGAGCAUUUGUGCUUCAGGCAUCAAGUUGUCUUUGACUCUUCGACUCUUCCUUGGUCUUUUUCCAUUCUCCACACCUCCAGCAGCAAACCUUUCGCCUCUCCUCAAGGCCUUUCCCCCCCAUCUCCCUCAGCGCCUCUUUGACUGGAGGGGGACAGAGGCUUUCAUGGCAGGGAUUCUCCCAUCUCCCUUCCUAUCCCCGCUAUGCCCUCCAAUUAUCUUUUCCUGGCGUUCCGUUUUACAAGAGAUGGCCUUCUUUCCAAAAACAUUUAUAUUGUAUUGAAUAUUCUUGAUUUUGGCCAUCUUGCUUUACAGACAGACCUGGGGUCUAAUUUCAGCUCUGCCACUUACCAGGUGGUUGCCUUGUGCAAAUUUCUUGAUCGUCUGUGUUUUCCUCAUCUGUAAAAUGGGGAAAAGAAUAAUAUGGACCUCAUAGAACUCUGGGGAGGAUUUAAACUAAGUGAAUAAUGUAUUUAGAUCAUUUAGGUUAGUGCCUGGAACAUAGUAAAUGUGCCGUAUAUGAUAGCUUUUGUUAGUAUUUGCCCCUUACCUCUUCUUCUGGGGUCUUGCUGUAUUAGCCUUUCCCAUGAGUGUAAAAAUACACUGUCUUCUCUGGCUUUUUCCUGUUUUUCUCUACAAAUGCUUGUGUUUUUCUCUAAAUUUUAUUUUUUGUCUUUUAGCGUCUACAUUAAGGACACAUUCUCAGUUUCGUAAUGAUUUUUCUUUUUCUUUUUUCCUUUUUUUUUGAGACUAUAGCCCAGGCUGGAGUGCAAUGGCAAGAUCUCGGCUUACUACAGGUUUGACCUCCUGUGCUCAAGCAAUCCUCCCACCUCAGCCUUCCAAGUAGCUGGAACUACAGGUGGUGACUCUCAAAAGGAAAUAGGAUCAUGGCAGCAGAUGAUGACAAUGGUGAUGGAACAAGUUUAUUUGAUGUCUUUUCUGCUUCUCCUCUUAAGAACAAUGAUGAAGGCUCACUGGACAUAUACGCUGGGUUGGACAGUGCUGUUUCUGACAGCGCUUCCAAAUCCUGUGUACCAUCAAGAAAUUGUUUGGACUUAUAUGAAGAGAUCCUGACUGAAGAAGGAACUGCAAAGGAGGCAACAUAUAAUGAUUUGCAAGUAGAAUAUGGAAAAUGUCAACUACAAAUGAAAGAGCUGAUGAAAAAAUUUAAAGAAAUACAGACACAGAAUUUCAGCUUAAUAAACGAAAACCAGUCUCUUAAGAAGAAUAUUUCAGCACUUAUCAAAACUGCCAGAGUGGAAAUAAACCGCAAGGAUGAAGAAAUAAGUAAUCUUCACCAAAGGUAUUACUGAGCGGUGUAGCUGUUAUAAAUUACGUGGGUAUUGAUAUGUGGAAUAUUUUUAACUUUUAGAGGAAAGAUGAAAAUAAUGUAUUUUUAUUUUUUAUUUUUUAAUUUUUUUUUUUUUUUAGAGACAGGGUCUCAUUUUGUCACUCAGGCUGGUCUUGAACUCCUGACCUCAGGUGAGCCACCCACCUUGGCCUCCCAAAGUGCUGGGAUUUCAGGCGUGAGCCACUGUGCCCAGACUUUUUUUUUUUUUUGGCAGAGUCUUGCUCUGUUGCCCAGGCUGGAGUGCAGUGGUGUGAUCUCAGCUCAUUGCAACCUUUGCCUGCUGGGUUCAAGCGAUCCUCCCACCUCAGUCUCCCGAGUAGCUGGGAUUACAGGCAUGCACCACCUGUAAAAAAAAAUUUAAAAAAAAAAAAAGAUUUUUUUGUAUUUUUAGUAGACGGGGUUUCACCAUUUUGGCCAGGCUGGUCUCAAACUCCUGAUCUCAAGUGAUCUGCCCGCCUGGCCCUCCAAAGUACUGGGAUUACAGGUAUGAGCCACUGCACCCAGCUUCAAGGGUGUUCCUUUUGUGGUUAGUGCUUUUCGUGUUUACAUUUCCCCAAUGAUCUCAAAGGUAUCUACCAACAGUUGGUCGGUUGAGUCAGUAUCUAUAUUAGUUUCCUAGGCUUAGUGUAACAAAACUACCAGAAAUGGGUGGCCUAAACAACCAAAAUUUGUCUCACAGUCCUGGAGGCUAGAAGUCCAAAAUGAAAGUGUCAGCAAAGUUAGUUUCUUUUGAGAGCUCUGAAGGAAGGAUCUGAUUCAGGCCUCUGUACUCUUAGAUGGUUGUCUACUUCCUAUGUCUCUUUAUAUCCUCUUUCUAAAUGUAUCUCUGUGUCCAAAUUUCCCCCUUUUUAUAAGAACACCAGUAAUAUUGCAUGCCCACCUUGAGGACAUCACUUUAACUUGAUUAUUUCUGUAAAGACCCUUUAAAUAAGGUCAUAUUCUGAAGAACAAUGGGUUAGAACUUCAAAUUAUGAAUUUGGUCAGGAGAGGGGACACAAUCCAUAACAGGGUUCAUAUGAGGCUUACAUAUUGUUUUAGGUUGUGUGUUUUUCUAAUCCUCUCUUAUAACAAUCUGCCUAUAUUUCUGAGUUUUUUAAGUUUUGGGUUUUUCUACACAUUUGCUACUGAUUAGAAAAAGAUAUAUGAAAUUUCAGAGAAAUUAUGGAAUUUCUGGAAGAUGAAGUUAUUACCAGAAGCCAAUAUAGGCCAGGCACAGUGGCUCACGCCUGUAACCCCAGUACUUUGGGAGGCGAAGGCAGGAGAAUUGCUUGAGUCCAGGAGUUUGAGACCAGCCUGCGCAGCAUAGUGAGAUCCCAUCUCUACGAAAAAUUAAAAAUUAGCUGGGCAUGGUGGCUUGUACCUGUAGUCCCAGCUACUUGGAAGGUUGAAGUGAGAGGAUUGCUUGAGCCUAGGACAUCAAGGCUGCAGUGAGCCAUGAUCAUUCCGCUGUACUCAGCCUGGGUGAAAGAGGGAGACCCUGUCUC